rnacentral:lncRNA from 1 species
CUCCCAUCUACACCCCAGCAAGAAGGACGAGCUUUCUGAAGUGAGUCCAGCACUGUCCGGAGCCCCUGAGACUCAGAGAAAUUCGUAAUACAUUUCACGUCACACCCACCUGCUCUCCGCUGGGCCAGACGAGAGGGAGUGACAAGCUUUGGGAUUGAACUCAGGACCUUGAGCUUUUGAAGCAAGCGGCAGAACCACUGAGCUAAACCCCUGGCCCUCUGGUUCUUUUGAGUAUUGUCUCCUCUUCACCUUCAAUCUGGGAACUUCACACUGAAGUGCUACAGAAAAGGUCAUCUACAGUAUUAUCCUACUGGGUUUACCUGUGAGGCUUGAGGGUCUUCUCCACAUCAGGAUCGGGCCCUUCUUCACUUGGGCCCACUUCUUCAAAUAGCCUUAAUGCUGACUAAAGAUUUCUCCGGGAAUGUGUGUGAACAUAAGAGAGAAAACUGCAAGAUACAUGGCACAUAUGGGCACAUGGAAUCGUGCGUGUGGUCUUCAGACCCAAAUGUUUCCUAAGUGACUACUGCUUAUUUUCUCUCCACACGCUUCACACACAAACACCCCUUUUGAGUAAAUUUGUUAAGUACAGUACUGCAGGAAUGCGAG